UACGGGGGGGGCAAGCGUUGUUCGGAAUUACUGGGCGUAAAGGGUUCGUAGGUGGCUGAUUAAGUCAGACGUGUAAUCCCUCGGCUCAACCGGGGAACUGCGUUUGAGACUGAUGAGCUCGAGUGCAGGAGAGGAACGCGGAAUUCCAGGUGUAGCGGUGAAAUGCGUAGAUAUCUGGAGGAACACCGGUGGCGAAGGCGGCGUUCUGGACUGCAACUGACACUGAGGAACGAAAGCCAGGGGAG
rnacentral:rRNA from 1 species